AUUUUUGUUAGUUUUUUUUGGUUUUGUUAAUACAGUAUUUGUUAAUAAUAAAGAUUAUGCACUACAAAAAAAGUUAAGAAAUGUGUCUAAAGCAACUGAAAAAGAAAGGAGAGGCUACUUUGGAGAAAUUGAAACUCAUACUGCAUGUAAUUUAAAAGAAAAAGAUUUGUUUCAGGUGAUACAUUGUGAAACUGACCGACACCACGUGAUUAAAAGGAUGCAUGCAGAAGAAGGAGGAAACUGAAACACAUCACGUCGAGCAAUUUCAGAGACCUUACAGCCAGAGGCUUUACCAGUGUACACGCUGUAGAAAACCAUGGCCCACAGCAAGGAUUCACCAUGGACUUUAGAGUUCCCUCAGGAUCUUCUUCCGUCUGCAGAGCGAACGGCUCUUCUCUAUCAUCUGUGUUACCUGCGUCUGGGAAGAUUCCUCGAUUUGCAGAGUCUGAUCAGAGAACAAGCUCUUGAAACACAACGGGUGUUUAGAUGCUCUGAAGCUGUUAUUAUAAAGGUGAGACUGAAUUCAUCAUUACCAGCAAUCUCAAUCUGUCGUGUCCAGCUUAUAAAAAUGCUGUCUUGAUUUAUUCAAUCUAACAUCAUUU
ensembl:lncRNA